rnacentral:lncRNA from 10 species
CACUGUGAGGGUUACCUAAAGCUCGGCAUCCGUGAUGGUCUACGGGGCUUCCGAGGCUAUCGGGCAAUGUCAGUCUUUAGCUGCUAAGCAGAGAAGGAGUCAGUCAGAGAGCCUUGGGCCAGAGUUCCAGGGGCUCUGGGAGUGGCUGCCAGGUGAGUUGAACAGUCCGAUUUCCAGUGGGGUCCCGCACAGAUGGGACACGGCUUGGGAGGAAUCCUGAGGAAAAUUACAGUCAAAGGGGUUUGUUCUCUGGCGGGCAGAGCGGGGUGGGGGGAGGCGGGAAGGUCACAAGGUGCUCAGCAGGGGAGCUUUUGAGCCAGGAUGAGCCAGGAGAAGGAAUUUCACAAGACAAUGUCAUCAGUUAAGGCGGGAACAGGCCAUUUUCACUUCUUUUGUGGUGGAACGUCAUCAGUUAAGGCAGGAACCGGCCAUCUGGAUGUGUACGUGCAGGUCACAGGGGAUAUGAUGGCUUAGCUUCAGCUCAGAGGCCUGACAAUAACCACUAUCUUCUUGCUGUUUAUUCUCACAGCUCCCUGCCCCUCCCUAAUUGCAUCACACUGCAUGCUUAGCUUAAUUGUCUGUCUUCCCUUAGACUGUGAGUGAGUCUAUGAGGACAGGAACUGUCUGCCUUCCUAAUCAAUUUUCAGCACCUUGCCCAGCCUGGCACAUGACAGGCACUGAACAGAAAUUUGUUGAAUAAAGGCCCUGAGCAGUGGCUCAUGCCAGUAAUCCCAGAACUUUGGGAGGCUGUGGAAGGAGGAUUGCUUGAGCCAGGAGUUUGAGACCAGCCUGGCAAACAUACUGACAGCCUCCUUAUGCUUUAUUUUAAAACAUUAUCCAGGCAUGGUGGCGUGCACCUGUGAUCCCAGCUACUCAGGAGGCUGAGGUGGGAGGGUGGCUCGAGCCCAGGAGAUUGAGGCUGCAGUGAGCUGUGAUCACACCACUUCACUCUGUUAUGGGCGGGUCUUUGUUCUUAGAGCUCCCAAGAUGGGGUGGGGCUGCUCCCAAGAUGGCAGCAAGCCUUUUGUUCUCUGACCUGGGGUCCUUGGCCUCACAGAUUCCAAGGACUUGGGCCAUACAGUGAGUGUUGUAGCUCUAUUAGAAGCCGUGGGUCAUGGAAGAGAACUGUGGCACCCAGUGACUAGUGUUCAGCUCAAUUAGGACGAACCCGGGACUUAGCCAUGCAGGAACAAUGGCGAGCCUUUAGCCCGAUUGGGAGCAGCAACGGGCACCUCACUUGAUCAGAAACACAGCGGACACCCUGCCAGAAGUCAAUGGUGGGUCUGGGAUGGUGGCGAACAGCAGUGGUGGUGAACAGCAGUUGUGGACUGUGAGCAAAAGCUCAGCUUGAGCAGUAACAAACAUGGGCCAGGAGAGUGUGCAGUUGCAAGAUUUAACAGUGAAAACAGAGCUCCCAUACAAUGUGAGGGGUCCCAAAGGGGGUUGCCACUCCCUGCUCGAAUGCCUGGAUUUAUAUCCUGAUCAUUGUCCCUCCCCCUGUGCUCUCAGGUGAUAUAUGAUUUAACUAUUUCUUUACCUCCUGCUUUGGCCUAAUUUGUAUUUUAGUGAGGCCUCUUUACUACCUGAUUGGUUGGGAGUGACCUCAGUUACAAGCCGCAUGUUUAAAGGUAGGUACAGUCACCUUUCCCAGCUAGGCUUAGGAAUUCUUAGUCGGCCUAGGAAAUCCAGCUAGUCCUGUCUCUCAACUCCAGCCUGGGCAACAGAGCAAGACCCUGUUUCAAAACAAAACAAAAAAGAAAAAAAUUUGCUGGGUGAAUAAGUAACUGAAAAGAAUGGAAAGCAGAUCUUCCAGGCUGUGCUGGGUUGAAUAGCGUCCCCACAAAUUCACGUCUGCUCAGAAGCUGUGAAUAUGACCUUACAGGGUCUUUGCAGAGGUAAUCAAGCUGAAAUGAGGGCACAGUGGAUUCGUUUGGGCCCUAAUCCAAUGACUGGAGGCCUUACAGAAAGAGGGAAAUUGGGGCAGGAACAUACACCUGGGAGCAGGGGGAGGCAGAGGUUGGAGUGACAACCUGGGCACCAGGAGCUAGGAGAGAGGCAUGGCCCUGAGUCUCCAGAAGGGCCUCCGAGGGCCAGGGGCUGAGGAAAGGCAGGUGCACUGAACAACUCAACAACCCUGCCGCUUACAAGUCAGUCCCUUUGCGGGGCCUUGCAGACCCGGGGAGGGAACAGCCGUGCUGGCUGCACUCGCCAGGGAUAACUAUGGCUUGCUUCUCAUUGGACGAAGUGCCCGUCAAUCACACAAAGGCUCAGGAUGGGCCUCACUGUGACUUCUGGGCCUUUUUUCUUUGGUCAAGUAAAGGGGCGGGACCUGAUUGGCUACAGGUUUGAGGACAGUUGUCUCCCUCUCUAGACUGGAAGGAGACUGGCAGUGGCUAAAGCGCCUGAGCUGAUGACUUCUGACGCCCCAGAGUGGCGCUGAGGAGCAUUUGCAGGUUUUUGGAAUUUCCGAUCAAAGGUGGAGGCAGGGUUUACACCCAAACCUAGAACAAAUCACCCGUUCUCUUUCCUGAUUUCCCUUUCUGAGUAACUGAGAUUAUAACCUCCAGGGCGGCUUUCCUAAGACUUCUGGACCUGACAAGAUUCUUCUAGAAUUCCUCAGCUGCCAGGUGCUCUCACCUUCCCUCAAUCUCAAUGAGAAGCAGAAUAACCAGAUGUACAAAGAAUUUGAAUUCCAGUUGUACAAGUAUAGAGAGACAGCUGCCAAAGAGCUGUGUAGGAACAUGGACUUUGAGCAUCUCAGAGAGCGGCCCUCUGGCAUGUGGCUUUCCUGCCGGGGAGGCUGGUGGCAGCUGCCACAUCAGGUCUCAGUGGGCAGAGAUGAAGUCUUUGCAAACAUAAAAAAAUAAAAUAAAACUGUCUCUUUUGUAUUUCCCCACCCAGAAAAACAGCCUUGACAUAUGCUGUUGUGUCCAAAAUUGGUGGAUUCCUGACUUCACUGACCUCAAGAAGGAAGCCACAGACCCUCACGGUGAGUGUUACAGUUCUUAAAGACGGUGUGUCCGGGGUUUGUGCCUUCUGAUAGGCAGUGAGUGUUACAAUUCUUAAAGAUGGUGUGUCCAGCGUUUGUGCCUUCUGAUAUUCAGACGUGUUCAAAGUUUAUCCUUUCUGGUGGGUUUGUGGUUUUGGUGGCUUCAGGAAUGAAGCUGCAGACCUUCCAACUGAGUAUUAACAGCUCUUAAGGUGGCGUGUCUGGAGUUGUUCAUUCCUCCCAGUGGGUUUAUGGUCUCGCUGGCUUCAGGAGUAAAGCUGUAGACUUUCGUGGUGAGUGUUACAGCUCAUUAAGGCGGUGCAGACUGAAAGACUCAGCAGCAGCAAGAUUUAUUGCAAAGAGCAAAACAAACAAAG